CCCGGGACGCCUGAAGCCAAGGACGGAUCUGCAUCCUCCCUGCUCCCCAGCUUGGCUCUCGGUCCCAGAGAACCGCCCCCCAACUGCCCAGCCCGGAAACAAUCAUCCUUUGAGAAAGGCUGCCAAGCCGGGCGCCAGGAACAGCCAGGGUAGAGGCGGGGUGGGAUGGGGGUGCAGGCCGCGGAGCGACGAGCUUUAACUCCAGCGAGCCGGGGCCCGGGGGCGUCGGGACCCCGCGCGCAGCCCCUGCUCCGGAGUCUACAGCAAGAGCCUCCUCCGCUCGGAGGCUGUGUUGCGGAGGUGAUGAUACCAAUCCCAGGGGGUCCUCGCCGGCCUCCCUCCCCGCGCCCCCCGCCUCUGCGGCCGAGAUUGGUACCGACCAUUAGCGGCGCGGGUCCCGCCGGCAGCUCGCGCUCGCUCGGGGCGGGGCGGGCGCGCGUGGGGGCGGGGCGGGAGGCGCUGUCACAGCCGCGGCGGCCCCGGCGCAUCAUCUGCCGCCGCCGAGGGGACUCCGCGCCGGCCCGCUCGGCUAGGCUCCGGCCCCGCGCCCAGGCCGCCCGCGCUCUUCCCUCUCCGCGCCCCUGGUGCCGGCCCCCUGCUUCCUCCCGCCCCCCGCGCCUCCCCUCUCCGUCUCCCCCGCCCCCCACGCCGCCCUGCCCGCGCCUCCCGCGCGCUCCCAGGCUCCGGCCGUCGCCUCGCGGAGUCCACCAGGAGCCGGGCGGGGGCUGCGGGGCCGGGCGGGGGCUGCAGGCGGGCGGGCCGCGGACCCCGGCUAUGAAGUGGCCCCCCGGGGCCCGGAGCCCGAGAGACCCCGGAGAGGGAGGUGCGCGCGGCCCAGGGCAGCAGCCGGGGGACGCCGGGGUCGGGGCGUAGCGGCCGCCGCCCGCGAUGGACCGCGCCGGGAGCGAUCUGGACUCGCCGCCGCAGGUCUGUAUCCUCCAACCAGCUGUCUCCCUGGCUGCUGCACCCUCCCGGUGUCCCCACUCUUGAGGAGCCAAGCCGUGGGUCAUCUGUGUGCUCCGGCCCCAGCCUGCGCAGACCCCAACCGAGAGCAGCAAUGUGAGCUCCCCACAAAGGGAGCACUGGGCUUUUGCUCUGAGGGCCUCCCUCGUGGAGGCUAUGGGUGAGUGGACACCCUUCUGCCUGAAGACCAGGAGCGGCAGCAUUGAGGGGACUUCAGGAAAACUGGCUGGGCCAACGCCUGUGUUCACGUUCCUGCGGUGGACCAGCAUGGAUUUUCACUUGCAGAGCACCACACGAGGCCAAACCCCAAUUUUCAUUUUUUACUGAAUCAGAACCCAAAUCUAAUCCAAAAGCUAUUUCUGAAAAACCAGAAAGAAAAACAAAGGAACUACCUAAAACAAACAACAGUGCGCUGUAUUUUCUGACACUCUUGGGCUGGAAGGAAACCAGAGUGUGAGGAUGUGCUUUGGGCCAUCUGAACUGAACAGCGCUUCCUGCUGCCCAACACUUGGCUUGGUUUUCCUGGUCAGAAGGGAGCAAGAUGGUGCGAAUCCACGCACCGUCUGCACCGCCUGUCCUAUCAGAAGUACCCAGGAGUGAGAGCCAGCAGUGGUGGGCCCGGAGGCAGAACGCAGACCUCCCCCGCUGCCUGGACCCCUCUCUCCUCAGCGAGCACCAGGAAAGCAGGGUGGGGAGCCCCUUCCUGGGACACUCGGCUGACCACAGGGCGGGCAGGGCAGGG
ensembl:lncRNA